rnacentral:rRNA from 1 species
UCAGACGAUGCGUCAUGCAUAUCAAUAAGCGGAGGAAAAGAAACUAACAAGGAUUCCCCUAGUAACGGCGAGUGAAGCGGGAAGAGCUCAAAUUUGAAAUCUUAAAGGGUUUCCCUUUACGAAUUGUAGUUUAAAGAAGUGUUUCCUGUUGAGGUUUUGGUAAAAGUUCUUUGGAAUAGGACAUCAUAGAGGGUGAGAAUCCCGUAUUUGACCUUUACUUUCAACUUUGUGAUACACUUUCAAAGAGUCGGAUUGUUUGGGAAUGCAGUCCAAAAUGGGUGGUAAAUUUCAUCUAAAGCUAAAUAUUGGCGAGAGACCGAUAGCGAACAAGUACCGUGAGGGAAAGAUGAAAAGAACUUUGAAAAGAGAGUUAAACAGUACGUGAAAUUGUCAAAAGGGAAGCGUUUGACACCAGUGUUGUUUUUCUGAAAAUCAAUUAAAGAACUGUUUAUGCUAAGUUGUUUAGACUUUAUCAGCUAACUGUUUAGUUUUGAGCUUUUCUUUAAUGCACUUUUCAGUUAACAAGUCAACAUCAAUUUCUUUUGCUGUAAAAAAGCUUGAGGAAGGUGGCUUGAGAUUCGUCUUAAGUGUUUAUAGCCUCUUGCCUAUGCAGUCGGAGAGAUUGAGGUCUGCAGCGUAGAUCCUUCGGGGCUAAAUGCAUUUGUGCUAAGUUAUAGCAUUUUAUAGACAACUUGUUGACUAUGAUUUGUCUUGUAGCUUACUCGCUUAUGUUAUUUUACCUACGCUUAGGAUGUUGACACACGCGCGUGCUCG